rnacentral:rRNA from 1 species
GGAUUUAUUGGGCGUAAAGGGCUCGUAGGUGGUUGAUCGCGUCGGAAGUGUAAUCUUGGGGCUUAACCCUGAGCGUGCUUUCGAUACGGGUUGACUUGAGGAAGGUAGGGGAGAAUGGAAUUCCUGGUGUAGCGGUGGAAUGCGCAGAUAUCAGGAGGAACACCGAUGGCGAAGGCAGGUCACUGGCCCACUACUGACGCUGAGGAGCGAAAGCAUGGGGAGCGAACAGGAUUAGAUACCCUGGUAGUCCAUGCCGUAAACGUUGGGCACUAGGUGUGGGGCUCAUUCCACGAGUUCCGCGCCGCAGCUAACGCAUUAAGUGCCCCGCCUGGGGAGUACGGCCGCAAGGCUAAAACUCAAAGGAAUUGACGGGGGCCCGCACAAGCGGCGGAGCAUGCGGAUUAAUUCGAUGCAACGCGAAGAACCUUACCAAGGCUUGACAUACACCGGAAUCGGCCAGAGAUGGUCGCGUCUUCGGACUGGUGUACAGGUGGUGCAUGGUUGUCGUCAGCUCGUGUCGUGAGAUGUUGGGUUAAGUCCCGCAACGAGCGCAACCCUCGUCCUAUGUUGCCAGCACGUCAUGGUGGGGACUCAUAGGAGACUGCCGGGGUCAACUCGGAGGAAGGCGGGACGACGA